AAGUCGUAACAAGGUUUCCGUAGGUGAACCUGCGGAAGGAUCAUUUUGGUUACCAUCUGUCUGUGGACUGUAUUUCAGUUUCACACGACCAGAUCUUAACUGCGUCAACCUGUGUGCAAGUGCGAGUGAGCGAGCGAGUAGGGUUCCUUUUGGUGGACACUGCUGCUCCCCACUGCUAUGACUACUACUAUACUGUUGGGGCGGUCUUGACCUCCCCAGCAGCCUUUAGUUGUUGUUGUUUUAGUUGGUGGGUCGUGGUGGUGGUGCUGCAAAACAAAAGGGGCCUGAAUCGCGAUGCUCAUGUUCUUCAUAAACAAAAACCCUCGAUAAACCAUUACAUUGAAAUACACUGUCGACAGAAACAAAUACAAGAAAAACCAACCGAAACACAGUUUUAACGGUGGAUCUCUUGGCUCGU
rnacentral:misc_RNA from 1 species